rnacentral:rRNA from 1 species
GACGAACGCUGGCGGCGUGCUUAACACAUGCAAGUCGAGCGGUAAGGCCCUUCGGGUACGACGAGCGGCGAACGGGUGAGUAACACGUGGGUGACCUGCCUCUAGCUCUGGGAUAAGCCUGGGAAACUGGGUCUAAUACCGGAUAUGACUCCACGGCGCAUGUUGUGGGGUGGAAAGCCUUGUGUGGCUAGAGAUGGGCCCGCGGCCUAUCAGCUUGUUGGUGGGGUGAGGCCUACCAAGGCGACGACGGGUAGCCGGCCUGAGAGGGCGACCGGCCACACUGGGACUGAGACACGGCCCAGACUCCUACGGGAGGCAGCAGUGGGGAAUCUUGCGCAAUGGGCGAAAGCCUGACGCAGCGACGCCGCGUGAGGGAU